rnacentral:rRNA from 1 species
GAUCAUGGCUCAGGAUGAACGCUAGCUACAGGCUUAACACAUGCAAGUCAAGGGGCAGCAUGGUCUUAGCUUGCUAAGACUGAUGGCGACCGGCGCACGGGUGAGUAACACGUAUCCAACCUGCCGUCUACUCUUGGACAGCCUUCUGAAAGGAAGAUUAAUACAAGAUGGCACCAUGAGUCCGCAUGUUCACAUGAUUAAAGGUAUUCCGGUAGACGAUGGGGA